CCCUAAUACUAAAUACUACUUCAACACUAGAUAAAAAAAAAAUUAUAUUGUUUUAUAGGAAUCCAGCCAAAGACAACAUUCAACAGAUGUGUGCAGUACACGUACUCAGGAGCCAAGCCAGGAGGAGGCAGUCAUUUCUCCUCCAGCAACAAGACCACGUGGCCCAGUACCUAGGGGUCGUGGAAAGAGAUCUCUUUGUGGAGGUCAUGCCCGUGGUCGCCGUGGGACUGGUUCCAGAAGCCAAUCGGAUGAGGAUGUUCCAACAAACAUCCAUUUUGACCAGGAACUCCUCAUCCAUCUCGUGGAGGAGAGACCGGCACUAUGGGACCUGUCACAGCGACUUCAUGCGGACCACAUAGC